ACGGAGGGUGCAAGCGUUAUCCGGAUUCACUGGGUUUAAAGGGUGCGUAGGCGGGCAGGUAAGUCAGUGGUGAAAUCCUGGAGCUCAACUCCAGAACUGCCAUUGAUACUAUCUGUCUUGAAUAUUGUGGAGGUAAGCGGAAUAUGUCAUGUAGCGGUGAAAUGCUUAGAUAUGACAUAGAACACCUAUUGCGAAGGCAGCUUACUACGCAUAUAUUGACGCUGAGGCACGAAAGCGUGGGGAUCAAACAGG
rnacentral:rRNA from 1 species